rnacentral:rRNA from 1 species
AGAACGAACGCUGGCGGCAGGCUUAACACAUGCAAGUCGAACGGGCGCAGCAAUACGUCAGUGGCAGACGGGUGAGUAACACGUGGGAACCUUCCUAGGGGUACGGAACAACUCAGGGAAACUUGAGCUAAUACCGUAUACGUCCGUGAGGAGAAAGAUUCAUCGCCCCUAGACGGGCCCGCGUCGGAUUAGGUAGUUGGUGGGGUAAAGGCCCACCAAGGCGACGAUCGGUAGCUGGUCUGAGAGGAUGAUCAGCCACACUGGAACUGAGACACGGUCCAGACUCCUACGGGAGGCAGCAGUGGGGAAUAUUGGACAAUGGGCGCAAGCCUGAUCCAGCCAUGCCGCGUGUGUGAAGAAGGCCUUCGGGUUGUAAAGCACUUUUGGUUGGGAAGAAAAGCGACGGGAUUAAUACCUUCGUGUUCUGACGGUACCAAAGAAUAAGCACCGGCUAACUUCGCGCCAGUAGCCGC